rnacentral:rRNA from 1 species
UUGAUUACGUCCCUGCCCUUUGUAACACCGCCCGUCCCUGCCCGGGACUGGACCGUUUCAAGAAAACCGGGGAGGGGGGGCUGGGACUCUUCCGGGUCCGGGGGCCGCUGGAAACCCAAAAUAAUUGCUAUGGUUUGAACGGGGGAAAAGGGGUAACCAGGUAACUGGGGGGGAACCUGCUGAUGGAUCAUUU